rnacentral:tRNA from 1 species
AGAAACUUAGGAUAAUAUUAAACCGAAGGCCUUCAAAGCCUUAAACAAGAGUUAGACCCUCUUAGUUUCUG